rnacentral:rRNA from 1 species
GCGGCGAACGGGUGAGUAACACGUAGGGAACCUGCCCCUAAGACGAGGAUAACUACUGGAAACGGUAGCUAAUACUGGAUAGGAUAAGUUGACGCAUGUUGGCUUAUUUAAAGGUGCCUAUAAAGCACCGCUUAGGGAUGGCCCUGCGGCGCAUUAGCUAGUUGGUGGGGUAACGGCCUACCAAGGCGACGAUGCGUAGCUGUGCUGAGAGGCAGAACAGCCACACUGGGACUGAGACACGGCCCAGACUCCUACGGGAGGCAGCAGUAGGGAAUUUUCGGCAAUGGGGGGAACCCUGACCGAGCGAUGCCGCGUGAGUGAUGAAGGUCUUCGGACUGUAAAACUCUGUUAUUAGGGAAGAAUACUAUAGGGAGGAAAUGCCUUAUAGAUGACGGUACCUAAUGAGGAAGCCCCGGCCAACUAUGUGCCAGCAGCCGCGGUAAUACAUAGGGGGCGAGCGUUAUCCGGAAUUACUGGGCGUAAAGGGUGCGUAGGCGGUUUCUUAAGUCUAGUGUGAAAGCCCACG